AUUGAACGCUGGCGGCAGGCUUAACACAUGCAAGUCGAGCGGAGAUGAGGUGCUUGCACCUUAUCUUAGCGGCGGACGGGUGAGUAAUGUUUAGGAAUCUGCCUAUUAGUGGGGGACAACAUUCCGAAAGGAAUGCUAAUACCGCAUGGUAUCGCAAGAUUAAAGGUGGGGAUCGCAAGACCUACCGCCAUAGGAUCGGCUCAACUCCCAUUAGCUAGUUGGCAGGGUAAUGGCCUACCAAGGCAACGAUGGGUAUGUGGUCUUAGAGGAUGAUCACACACACUGGAACUGAGACACGGUCCAGACUCCUACGGGAGGCAGCAGUAGGGAAUAUUGCACAAUGGAGGAAACUCUGAUGCAGCAACGCCGCGUGAGUGAAGAAGGCCCUUGGGUCGUAAAGCUCUUUAGCCUGGAAAGAAGUGCUCGUAGGUAAACAAUCUGCGAGUGUGACGGUACCAGGAGAAUAAGGUCCGGCUAAUUUCGUGCCAGCCGCCGCAGUAAAAU
rnacentral:rRNA from 1 species